rnacentral:rRNA from 1 species
AAACCAUUUUGCUUACAAAUAGUCAGAGCUCAAUUUAUUGGGGGAUGGCGUGCCUAUUGAAGAAUGAACCAACGAGUUUAUGUAUUUUCUUUGUCUAAGUUCUUACGGAACGAAGGCUCAGCGAAAGCGAGUGUUAAUAGCGCGAAUUUAGAAUGGGAGCAAGACCCGAAGCCAAGCGAGCUUACCAUGACCAGGGUGAACUCCACCGAAAGGUAGAGGGAGGCCCGAACCCGUGAGCCGUGCAAUACUCUGGGAUGAGUUGUGGUAAGGAGUGAAAAGCUAAUCGAGCUUGGUAAUAGCUGGUUCUCCCCGAAAUAGCUUUAGGGCUAGCGUUUGUCGUAUUUUUCUGGAGGUAGAGCACUGAAUGGAACCUCUUGGGCUUUGCUCGGAUCUUCCAAUCAAACUCCGAAUGCCAGAAAAAAUUAACAAGCAGUCAGACUGUGGGGGCUAAGCUCCAUGGUCAAAAGGGAAACAGCCCAGAUCUUAAUCUAAGGCCCCUAAAUUCUAACUAAGUGUAUCAAAGGAAGUGAUGUUCCUCAGAUAGCUAGGAAGUUAGCUUAGAAGCAGCUAUCUUUCAAAAAGUGCGUAACAGCUUACUAGCUAAGGAACUUUGCGCCAAAAAUUCACGGGACUUUACUUAAAUGCCGAAGAUAAGGAGCUCCAAUUUAUUGGAGUUGGUAGGGGAGCGUUCCACCGGCACUGAAGCCAAUUUGUAAAGAUUGGUGGAGCGGGUGGAAGUGAGAAUGUUGGUAUGAGUAACCGCAAUGAGGGUGAAAGCCCCUCACACCGAAAACCCAAGGUUUCCUUGGCAAUGGUAAUCAGCCAAGGGUUAGGCGGGCCUAACCCGGUCACCGAAAGGUGAACGAGGGAUGGACAGCCGGUUAAUAUUCCGGCCCUCCUAUAUCUUUUUUUAAGAUGACGUAGUUUGCGAAGCAAGGUGUAUUAUUGGAUUUACAGUUGAGUGGAUUCUUCGGAUGAAGCGAAUUUGCAUGAUCAAGUUACCUAGAAAAGCUCUUAAAAGUUAGGGAUAUGGGAUCCGUACCGCAAACCGACACAGGUGGGUUGGUAUUAGUGUACUAAGGUGAACGAGUGAAAGUUCUUGAAGGAACUCGGCAAAACAGCAGGCGUAACUUCGGGAUAUGCCUUGCCUCGCUUAAGCGAGGCCGCAGCGAAAGACCUCUGGCGACUGUUUAUCAAAAACACAGAUCUCUGCUUAAUUCGUAAGAAGAUGUAUAGGGGUUGAGGCCUGACCAGUGCUGGAACGUUAACAGCGGCGGUCCCUGUAAUUUAUUACUUGGGCUGACUGCUCUAAGCGCCAGUGAACGUCGGCGGUAACUAUAACCGUCCAAAGGUAGCGUAAUCUCUUGCCAGGUAAGUUCUGGCCCGCAUGAAAGGCUUCACGACUGGAGGACUGUCUCCAAGAACUGCUCGGUGAAAAUGCAGUACCGGUAAAGAUGCCGGUUACUUGCGGCUAGACGGAAAGACCCCGGGAGCUUUACUAUAGUUAGGUAUUGGCUU